UACGAAGGGGGCUAGCGUUGCUCGGAAUCACUGGGCGUAAAGGGUGCGUAGGCGGGUCUUUAAGUCAGGGGUGAAAUCCUGGAGCUCAACUCCAGAACUGCCUUUGAUACUGAGGAUCUUGAGUACGGGAGAGGUGAGUGGAACUGCGAGUGUAGAGGUGAAAUUCGUAGAUAUUCGCAAGAACACCAGUGGCGAAGGCGGCU
rnacentral:rRNA from 1 species